ACCUGACUGCUAUCGGAUUGAUACUAAGCCAUGCGAGUCUUUGUAGUAAUACAAGGCAGACGGCUCAGUAACACGUAGUCAACCUACCCUAUGGACGAGGAUAAUCUCGGGAAACUGAGGAUAAUACUCGAUAGAUCAUAAUGCCUGGAAUGGUUUGUGGUUAAAAUGAUUCGUCGCCAUAGGAUGGGACUGCGGCCUAUCAGCUUGUUGGUGAGGUAAUGGCCCACCAAGGCGAUUACAGGUACGGGCUCUGAGAGGAGAAGCCCGGAGAUGGGUACUGAGACAAGGACCCAGGCCCUAUGGGGCGCAGCAGGCGAGAAAACUUUGCAAUGUGCGAAAGCACGACAAGGUUAAUCCGAGUGAUUUCUGCUAAGGAAAUCUUUUACCAGUCAUAAAACCACUGGUGAAUAAGGGGUGGGCAAGUUCUGGUGUCAGCCGCCGCGGUAAAACCAGCACCUCAAGUGGUCAGGAGGAUUAUUGGGCCUAAAGCAUCCGUAGCCGGCUCUGUAAGUUUUCGGUUAAAUCCAUGUGCUCAACAUAUAGGCUGCCGAAAAUACUGCAUAGCUAGGGAAUGGGAGAGGUAGACGGUACUCGGUAGGAAGGGGUAAAAUCCUUUGAUCUAUCGAUGACCACCUGUGGCGAAGGCGGUCUACCAGAACAUGUUCGACGGUGAGGGAUGAAAGCUGGGGGAGCAAACCGGAUUAGAUACCCGGGUAGUCCCAGCUGUAAACGAUGCAGACUCGAUGAUGCAUUGGCACAUAGCCAGUGCAGUGUCGCAGGGAAGGCGUUAAGUCUGCCGCUUGGGAAGUACGUGCGCAAGUAUGAAACUUAAAGGAAUUGGCGGGGGAGCACACAGGU
rnacentral:rRNA from 1 species